rnacentral:lncRNA from 1 species
AUGGGCAAAGGAGAUCCUAAGAAGCCGAGAGGCAAAAUGUCCUCAUAUGCAUUCUUUGUGCAAACUUGCCGGGAGGAGCACAAGAAGAAGCACCCAGAUGCUUCUGUCAACUUCUCAGAGCUCUCCAAGAAGUGCUCAGAGAGGUGGAAGACCAUGUCUGCUAAAGAAAAGGGGAAAUUUGAAGAUAUGGCAAAGGCUGAAAAGGCUCGUUAUGAAAGAGAAAUGAAAACCUACACCCCCCAAAGGGGAGACCAAAAAGAAGUUCAAGGACCCCAAUACACCCAAGAGGCCUCCUUCGGCCUUCUUCUUGUUCUGUUCUGAGUACCGCCCCAAAAUCAAAGGCGAGCAUCCUGGCUUAUCCAUUGGUGAUGUUGCAAAGAAACUAGGAGAGAUGUGGAACAACACUGCAGCAGAUGACAAGCAGCCCUAUGAGAAGAAAGCUGCCAAGCUGAAGGAGAAGUACGAGAAGGAUAUUGCUGCCUACAGAGCUAAAGGAAAACCUGAUGCAGCGAAAAAGGGGGUGGUCAAGGCUGAAAAGAGCAAGAAAAAGAAGGAAGAGGAAGAUGAUGAGGAAGAUGAAGAGGAUGAGGAAGAGGAGGAAGAAGAGGAAGACAAAGAUGAAGAAGAUGAUGAUGAUGAAUAA